AUUGAACGCUGGCGGCAUGCUUUACACAUGCAAGUCGAACGGUAACAGGCCGCAAGGUGCUGACGAGUGGCGAACGGGUGAGUAAUGCAUCGGAACGUGCCCAGUUGUGGGGGAUAACGCAGCGAAGGCUGUGCUAAUACCGCAUACGAUCUAUGGAUGAAAGCGGGGGACCGUAAGGCCUCGCGCGAUUGGAGCGGCCGAUGUCAGAUUAGGUAGUUGGUGGGGUAAAGGCCCACCAAGCCAACGAUCUGUAGCUGGUCUGAGAGGACGACCAGCCACACUGGGACUGAGACACGGCCCAGACUCCUACGGGAGGCAGCAGUGGGGAAUUUUGGACAAUGGGCGCAAGCCUGAUCCAGCAAUGCCGCGUGCAGGAUGAAGGCCUUCGGGUUGUAAACUGCUUUUGUACGGAACGAAACGGCGAGCUCUAAUACAGUUUGCUAAUGACGGUACCGUAAGAAUAAGCACCGGCUAACUACGUGCCAGCAGCCGCCGUAAAAC
rnacentral:rRNA from 1 species